rnacentral:rRNA from 1 species
UACAGAGGGUGCGAGCGUUGUUCGGAAUUACUGGGCGUAAAGCGCGCGCAGGCGGCCAACUAAGUCGGAUGUGAAAUCCCCAGGCUUAACUUGGGAACUGCAUCCGAUACUGGAUGGCUUGAAUCCGGGAGAGGGAUGCGGAAUUCCAGGUGUAGCGGUGAAAUGCGUAGAUAUCUGGAGGAACACCGGUGGCGAAGGCGGCAUCCUGGACCGGCAUUGACGCUGAUGAGCGAAAGCCAGGGGAGCAAACGGG